GACAGACAAAUUGAUGGAGAUAUGGACUGAAUUUACAGAUUGGAUGAUAGAAAUUGGAGUCAAAGAAGAAAGAUGGGAGAAGAGACUACAAAGGAAGAACUUGCUGCUGCUUACUUAAGAAA